AUUCAGCCUAUGGAGAGCGGGCGGGAAACCCUGCUGCGCCAGGGAUUGGAGGAGGAAAAAGAGCGCGAAGAGAGGGGCUCGCGGUGAAGAGGGACGGGUCGAGUGACUACGCGCGGCGGGUGCCAGCUGAGGAGCCGGAGCCGCAUGGUGUGGAGCAGAACCGCGGGAGAGCCCCAAGCAGUCAGCGGUUGCCGGGGGAACGGAGAUCUGGCGCUAGACACGGCUGUAUUCAUCGGGAGCCGGGGAGCCGCGGCACAGGGUGCAGAGAGUGGCGGUUAGCCAGAACGCGACACCGCCGGCUACCUCUGCACUAAGGGAGCAGACUGGGAGCCCGAGGGCUCUGCAGGGAGACGCUGAGGAGAUGCAAGAGAACAGAUCAGGGAACAAGAAGAGGGAUCCCGACAGACUGAGCAGAGAAGAGUCUGCAGCCACCAGACGUCCGCAGGAGCACCAGGCCCACUACAGAGAGAGGGAUAGCAAUGCCCCAUGCAGAGACUUGCUAACCCCUUUGACUUACCAGCGAGUAACCCAGAUGACUGUGGUCUGCGCGGAGUCACCAGAGAUCUGUAGCCCUGUCCCAGCCAAUGUGGCUUAGUUGCAAGAAUAAAAUGCGACUGAUAUGCACAAAGUGCCCUGCUUAUGCUCCUACACACCCCUUACUUGCAUGUUGAUUUAAACCCGGACUGGGGUUAGAAAGUCUGUUUUGAUUUGUCAGCCAAGACCGUCUUCUGCCCCACUGGCUUGCACCACGGGGCAGCAUCUCUUGUGUGACACUCCAUCCGGAAUAGUUUUACUCCCUAGGACUUACCUUUUCGUGGAUACAAACACCUCUCCAGUCAUAGAGGCGUCUGACGCUGCCGAACUACUUAUCUUUCUGUGGAUACAAAUACGGUUAGUACCGUCAGCCAUUGACGCUGUGUCGUAUUACCAACAGUUAGGUCUGCACACCUUCCUACAAACACUUACCUUACGUCCACUGAUGUUUUCCCAGGAGUUCACUGUUAAAGUGCAAAUGUUCUGUUAAAGCGACACUGACCGCAACCGCCCACUGAGGUGCAGGAACUGAAUGUUAGUGCCCGGCGUGCAGCGCCAUCCUAUGGACAGUUUAGGAAUCAUAUCCAAAUUACUAUCAGGACAUUUAUUACCCUAAAUUAUCGUGACAUACCAAAUAAUUACUAUUGCAUGUAAUGUAUUUGAUUUUUUGGACAAGUUAUUGUCAUGCCUUGGAGCUACAUAUGAGCCGUGGUAAAUGCUAUAGACAGGGAAAGACUCAGGGUAUUGUAGUAAUGUUCAACCUGUGCAACUGUGUUUAAUGAGAAUUGAAUUAUAGCAGUGACCGACACUUUCAGUUCAAUAAAUGGUUGUCACCGUC